GAUGAACGCUGGCGGCGUGCUUAACACAUGCAAGUCGAACGGGAAGCCUUUUAUUGAAGCUUCGGCAGAUUUAGCUGGUUUCUAGUGGCGGACGGGUGAGUAACGCGUGGGUAACCUGCCUUAUACAGGGGGAUAACAGUCAGAAAUGGCUGCUAAUACCGCAUAAGCGCACAGAGCUGCAUGGCUCAGUGUGAAAAACUCCGGUGGUAUAAGAUGGACCCGCGUUGGAUUAGCUGGUUGGUGGGGUAACGGCCCACCAAGGCGACGAUCCAUAGCCGGCCCGAGAGGGUGAACGGCCACAUUGGGACUGAGACACGGCCCAGACUCCUACGGGAGGCAGCAGUGGGGAAUAUUGCACAAUGGGGGAAACCCUGAUGCAGCGACGCCGCGUGAAGGAAGAAGUAUCUCGGUAUGUAAACUUCUAUCAGCAGGGAAGAUAAUGACGGUACCUGACUAAGAAGCCCCGGCUAACUACGUG
rnacentral:rRNA from 1 species